UCCCAAUCCUUAAUCUGUGUGAUUUUUUUAAUGAGUCUGUAAUUUAGGCAGCCAUUUUGUAUUCAGUAGAAAAAAAUGAAAUAAAGUGGGGACAUCCAGCGUGAGCUUUCUCCUGAGGACUCUGCCUUGGAAUUCGCUCUGAUAUGGUUAUUUUUCUGCAGAGUAUUUGUCAGUGUGGCUGCUGCUGUCUUUGUCUUGAACACCGGGCUGUGGAUUCAGCCACAACACCAGAGCAGCAGCCCGUGUGAUUCUACAUCCAGAGUUUUCACCUUGUGCCUUUUGCUGCUGGUGAGCUCUAAACACCCUCAAGAGGGAGACCCCAAGGCUUGGGACACUCCAGCAGCCUGUGCUGCAGCCCACUGACCCCUCCUCCCCUCCAAAUCCCACUCACGGUGCACCACGUCCUGACAGCAAUGCCUUUUCCUUCCCUACCCUCCCGAAAUUCCCAGAGCUAUUAACUGGGUCACGGGAGCUGGUCCCACUCCAGCAGUUUAUCUAAUUGCCUUUUUAUAGUAUAUCGUGCAACUCUUCGUUAUCCUGUCAGAGCUGCCUGGCUGGUGCUGGAGGGGGAUGAGGAGGCAGAGCUGGGAGGAAGGGCACUGCUGGGCAGCCUCUGGUGCUAGUGCAUUGCUGCUGCUGCAGGGCUGCCCUCAGCCCGGCCACAAACCCAGGAGCUGCUUUUGGCAACGGCUGCGGGAAGGUGGAACAACUUCCACAGCCUGGGAUCACCUCCCUAGGUGCACAUGCACCUGUCCAGAGGGGUGGCUGCUGCUCCAAGGAUGCCUGGGCUGACCUGUGUGAGUUCUGCUCUUCAGGCAGAUGUGACCGCGGAAUUUUCUUGGCUGUUUGGGCACAAGGUGCCCCUCGACCUUCCUGUCUCUGCAGCUGGCAGCUGUGCUGGAGGUGCCCUGCAGCAGGGAGAGCCCAGGAGUGACGCGGCUGCCUCCAUCCAUACAUCCGUCCGCCCGUCCGUCCGUCCGUCCGCCCCUCCAGCCUUCCCCGGCGCGCUGCGGGCAGCGAUGGGGAGAGAAGCAGAGGUAAAUGCUCCAACCCUCCUCUCCAUCUCUCCUGGUAUUUCUCUCUUCCUUUCCUUUUUUUUCUGUGUCCCGUAGCCCUUCCUCGCCGUCCCCGCUGCUAUUUUUGUGUUUUCUACUCGAUUUCAGCCGCCGGUAGUAGUUCGGGGGGAGGAGGGAGAAGGGAGAAAGUCUUCAUUUUUCCUGCCGCUGCUGCAGAAAAUCUUUUUCUCCCCUCCUGAAAUCGGGGCAGGAGCGAGCUGGAGUCCCGGCAGAGGCAGAGGGACCCCGGGUGGCCCCCCCCCCCCCCCCCCCCCCCCCCCCCCCCCCCCCCCCCCCCCCCCCCCCCCCCCCCCCCCCCCCCCCCCCCCCCCCCCCCCCCCCGGCGGUGCCGAGCUGCAGCGGGGAGAGGGGAGGCGGCUGCGGGCUCAGCUCCCGGCGUUAGAACCGGGGGGGCACAGCGGCACCCCCGCUCCUGCAUCCCCCGGAGCCCCCAGACCCUGACCUCCCCAGCAUCCUCAGCGUCCCCCACAGUUUCUCACCCACCUCGGGGUCCCACGAGGCUCAGCAGCCCCCGGAGCUCUGCGGGCUCUCAGCUUGAGGGGUCCCCCGGGCAAGGAGGGGGCAAAGCCCCAUGCACCCCAUGCAGAAGGGGGAAUAAGAAAAAAGAACCUCCGACCCCGGGGCAUUCCCCGCCGGAGGAGCGCCCGAGCCCCCCCCCCCCCCCCCCCCCCCCCCCCCCCCCCCCCCCCCCCCCCCCCCCCCCCCCCCCCCCCCCCCCCCCCCCCCCCCCCCCCCCAUAAUUCCAGCCCUGCCCCGGGGCAUUCUCGCCGCAGCGGCUCCGAGAUCCUGGAAUUAUUUUCAAGCUCCCUGUGGCUUU
rnacentral:lncRNA from 12 species